rnacentral:rRNA from 1 species
CCUACGGGAGGCUGCAGUGAGGAAUAUUGGUCAAUGGCCGGAAGGCUGAACCAGCCAUGCCGCGUGAAGGUCAGUGCCCUUUGGGCGUUAAACUUCUUUUGUCCGGGAGCAAUAAUGGUCACGUGUGGCCAGACGAGAGUACCGUACGAAUAAGCAUCGGCUAACUCCGUGCCAGCAGCCGCGGGAAGACGGGGGGUGCAAGCGUUAUCCGGAUUUAUUGGGUUUAAAGGGUGCGUAGGCUGUGAGGUAAGUCAGCGGGGAAAUGCCCCCGCUCAACGGGGUGAAGUGCCAUUGAUACUGCCUUGCUGGAAUGCGGAUGCGGUGGGAGGAAUGUGUGGUGUAGCGGUGAAAGGCAUAGAUAUCA